rnacentral:lncRNA from 1 species
CUCCAAUUGGUGAAUAUAUCAAAGGGUACAACAAUGAACUAGUAUGUUUAAAGUCACAAAGCUUUAAACCAUUAAAGGAUCACACGGUUUAAUUGGUUACCGUUAAUAAUUUAGUUUUAAAUACACAUGCACCUUUUCAAUAUGUAAACACCUAUUCACAUAUACAAUAGUUUUAGCAUGAAGGAACAUACAUGCUCAUGUCUGUUCACAGAAUCAGUUGAAGACAGUUAACCACAUGCCAUUUCAUACAUCAAAACAAAUAAAUUUAUGUUACACAACUCCUAACAGAUCGCACCAUUUCAGAAAUGAACAAUUUGUUUUAAUGCGGAAAGAGGAGUAUAAUUAUGUAAUAGAUAAGACUCCAAUCAGGAAUGGUUGGACAGGACAAUCAGAUUCCUUUUCAAUUAAAAAUUUAAUUUCCAACAUGGAUUCCAGGAUAGGAAACUACCUGAUUGUCUUACUUUUACAACUACUGACUGCCAUGCGUAAAUAAUACUCUUUUAUCAUAUACAAACAUAUGAAUGACAUAGUCACACACCACUUUUUCCUCCUCGUUUCAGACAUAAUUAUUUUAAUAUAUAAAAUAUUCAAGCCAUAUAGAACAGAUCUUGUCGAAUUCAAAUACACAUUCAGCAUGCCAAUGGCGAUUAUAGAUAUAUAAUCCGACUUCGUUAUUACUGAAAUCUUAUUCAUCACUUAAGGAAUUCAAAAGUGUAUCGUUCCCAAUUAACCGAAAAGGAAAACAGAAUUCUACAACCAUGAUUCUUAUUUCAGAAUUCAAUCACUUAAUGUCACAACUUCUGCAUCUAAUUUCGAACAGAAAUUAUGCACACACAUACCAAUUAUUGGAAUAUAAUAUGCAAUUGAAACAUAUGCACGUGGUUUCUGCCUAUUCAUAUUUCCACUUUCACAAUUGUUCUUACAAACACAUACAAUUAUUUAUGCACAAUCAAAAUUCUCCUUAAAAUGAUUGGAUAUGACAUGGAUAAUUGUGCAUAUAAAAUUCACAAAACAUACCUUUUGCAUGUGAGAUGAUCAAACAUAAAGUGGAAUUUGAGAACAUAGAAUGAUACUUAUCGGAUCUGAAUGCAUUACGACGAAUUUCAUCUUUUCAUUUUCCAAUGAAAAUAUUUCUUUUCAAACCUUUUCAAAUUUUCUCGCCAAACAAGUGUAAUUCCGGUUGCAUUGCCAAAUCCGGAUUUAAAAUGUGGAGAAUCUUCAACGCCUUUAGAAUAAACUUCAAUUCAUACUUGCCUUCAUAUGAAGUUCGCCCCAUCAAAUGUUUCAACCACGAUAUCAUGUCAUCAACUUGAUCUAUGUCAAAGUGAUUCCGUUCUCCAUCGCAAUAUCGUUUGAGAUUGUUGGGAAAUUAAAUUCACCACCGGGGUUGGAGAAGAAACAAUACAAAAAAUUAGUCAAAAGCAUGAAAAAACGAAUCAAGAUCAUGACGAAAAUAGAAGACUCAAACACAACGUUACAUUGUUGUCCUCAAACGAUAUUUGUCCUCUCUUGGUAUUAAUGUUGGUGCUUAAAGGAUCUUGCGGAAAAUGGUUUGAAGGAUUGAUCAAGCCCUGAUGUAGAGAAACACAAAAGCACAAGCAUUUCUCCACCCGAACUUGAAGAACAUAAAGGGAAUAUAUGAAUGUGGAGGAAGAAAUGAUUUUUUUUUCUUGUGGAAUGAUGACAGAUUACCAUAUGUUUUGUAAUUUGAUUUCCAUGUCUUUUAUAUGUCCAACAAACACAUAUUUAUAGCCAUGAAUCAUAGCUUCACGAAAUGGUGCCAAAACAAGAUGAAAAGUAGCAACUUUUAAUCCAAAACGGCUUCCAAGUUUUAAAUUGAAAAAUCAGUCAACAACUAUUUUUUAACAAUAUGCGUACGCAUAGUAGAAGCAAAAUCAAUUCUGAUUUUGCCAAAGCACAUCUCGCGUACGCACAAUUUCAAUUUCUUUUGAUUCUACCAAUUUUACAAUUAGUCCAUUAUCAUUCCAUUGAUUUUGAACAAAUAUUCAACAAUUACUUAGUGCAAAUUUCAUUCCUAGAAGAACUAUAACACAAUUGAAACAUACGCCGCUGGCUGCAAUGCAAAGCGUUUAACCACACAGAAGUUAUGGAGGAUUUUGCAAGCUCUAGGAGCUAUAUUGCUUUUGCAUAUUCUUAUUCAACAAUCCUCAAGAAAAUUAGACGAGACGCCUUUCACAGCAAUGAAAUCUAUUGUUAUAUUAAAUGGAUUUUAUUGGAAAAUUAAAUCGCACAAUUUGACUAAUAUAAUUUCCACGGAAUUAACUUCAGGACACAGCAAAGCAUAAAACUAUGAAGAAUGCCACUUAUCUCGGCAUUACCAUCACAAGAAUAUUUUAUCUACCGUGGGACAUGCUGCCAUUGGAGAUGAUGCUCCCCGGGUUUGGUUUUUAUGUACCAUACUGGUUACUGGACAUAGACCAUAUUUCUAUUGUAGUUCAUCUUAUCAGUGCUUACUCUUGAUGCGGAAUGAGAGAUCACCAAUGAUUUUUCAAGCUUAGUAUCCUCCAAUUCAAUCAAAACCUCUAACAAGCCGAGACCAAAACCAACAAACCAAGAAAGAAUCCCAAACUCCGGUUGCUGGAAGAAUGCCCACUUAGAACACACAAUAGGGAUUUUAUUGCAGCUACAAAGGCCAAAGAAAUUGGAGAAGAAAUGGCACAGAGGAGAAUACAAAGCAGAAGCCUU